rnacentral:rRNA from 1 species
GACGAACGCUGGCGGCGUGCUUAACACGUGCAAGUCGAACGGUGAAGCGCCUUCCUUUUUGGUGGGUGUGGAUGAGUGGCGAACGGGUGAGUAACACGUGAGUAACCUGCCCCCUUCUUCUGGAUAACCGCAUGAAAGUGUGGCUAAUACGGGAUAUUCUGGGUCUGUCGCAUGGUGGGUCUGGGAAAGAUAUUGUUUCGGUGGGGGAUGGGCUCGCGGCCUAUCAGCUUGUUGGUGGGGUGAUGGCCUACCAAGGCGGUGACGGGUAGCCGGCCUGAGAGGGUGGACGGUCACACUGGGACUGAGACACGGCCCAGACUCCUACGGGAGGCAGCAGUGGGGAAUAUUGCACAAUGGGCGCAAGCCUGAUGCAGCGACGCCGCGUGAGGGAUGGAGGCCUUCGGGUUGUGAACCUCUUUCGCCAGUGAAGCAGGCCUGCCUCGUUUGUGGGUGGGUUGACGGUAGCUGGAUAAGAAGCGCCGGCUAACUACGUG